rnacentral:rRNA from 2 species
UACGAAGGGGGCUAGCGUUGCUCGGAAUUACUGGGCGUAAAGGGCGCGUAGGCGGCCUUGUUAGUCAGGCGUGAAAAUCCCGGGCUUAACCUGGGGACUGCGCUUGAUACGGCAGGGCUUGAGGAUGGAAGAGGCUCGUGGAAUUCCCAGUGUAGAGGUGAAAUUCGUAGAUAUUGGGAAGAACACCGGUGGCGAAGGCGGCGAGCUGGUCCAUUACUGACGCUGAGGCGCGACAGCGUGGGGAGCAAACAGG